CUGCCAGUAGUCAUAUGCUUGUCUUAAAGAUUAAGCCAUGCAUGUCUAAGUUUAAGUGUUCUUACAACGAAACCGCGAAUGGCUCAUUAAAUCAGUUAUAGUUUACUUGGUCGAUGCUUACUACUUGGAUAACUGUAGUAAUUCUAGAGCUAAUACAUGCAAAAGACCCCAACUCUUCGGGGAAGGGGUGGCAUUAUCCACUUCAACGCUACUCGGGGUUCACGCCCUGUAUUACUUGAAUGGAGAUAAUUGUCCGAAUCGCGAGAACCGUAAGGCGGCGAUAGACCAACCAAGUUUCUGCCCUAUCAACUUGAUGGUAGUGUAUUGGACUACCAUGGUUAUAACGGGUAACGGGGAAUUAGGGUUCGAUUCCGGAGAGGGAGCCUGAGAGAUGGCUACCACUUCCAAGGAAGGCAGCAGGCGCGCAAAUUACCCAAUCUCAGUACGAGGAGGUAGUGACGAUAAAUAACGAUAUGGAUCCUUCGGGGUCCAUAAUCGGAAUGAGCACAGUGUAAAUAUCUUAACGAGGAACAAUUGGAGGACAAGUCUGGUGCCAGCACCCGCGGUAAUUCCAGCUCCAAGAGCGUAUAUUAAAGUUGUUGCAGUUAAAAAGCUCGUAGUCUGAAUUUGAGGAUUCUGGUAGUUUAGGGGCCUGUCGGAAGAUGGGCUGACCGGCUACUUGGCCUCAAACACCUAGUUGAUGCCUCUGCUCUUAAUUGAGUGGGGGUUUAGGCUGGGUCUUUUACCUUGAAGAAAUUGGAGUGUUCAAAGCAGAUAUUCUUUCGUCUUGCACAUAUUAGCAUGGGACAAUGAAAGAAGACCGCGUCAGAGUCUGGUAGUAACUCGGGCGCGGUAAUGAUCGAUAGGGGCGAUGGGGGCGGUUGGUAUUCAGCGGCUAGAGGUGAAAUUCUUAGAUUCGCUGCAGACUCCCGGAAGCAAAAGCGUUCCGCUACUGUACCCCCGUUGAUCAAGAACGAAAGUUAGGGGAUCGAAGACGAUCAGAUACCGUCGUAGUCUUAACUAUAAACGAUGCGGACCAGAG
rnacentral:rRNA from 1 species